rnacentral:rRNA from 1 species
UCCUACGGGAGGCAGCAGUGGGGAGUAUUGGACAAUGGGCGCAAGCCUGAUCCAGCAAUGCCGCGUGGGUGAAGAAGGUUUUCGGAUUGUAAAGCCCUUUUGGCAGGGACGAUGAUGACGGUACCUGCAGAAUAAGCCCCGGCUAACUUCGUGCCAGCAGCCGCGGUAAUACGAAGGGGGCUAGCGUUGCUCGGAAUGACUGGGCGUAAAGGGCGCGUAGGCGGCGAUCAAAGUCAGGCGUGAAAUUCCUGGGCUCAACCUGGGGGCUGCGCUUGAUACUUGGUUGCUUGAGUGGGGAAGAGGGUCGUGGAAUUCCCAGUGUAGAGGUGAAAUUCGUAGAUAUUGGGAAGAACUCCGGUGGCGAAGGCGGCGACCUGGUCCUUGACUGACGCUGAGGCGCGAAAGCGUGGGGAGCAAACAGGAUUAGAUACCCUGGUAGUCCACGCUGUAAACGAUGUGCGCUGGAUGUUGGGUGACUUAGUCACUCAGUGUCGUAGCUAACGCGAUAAGCGCACCGCCUGGGGAGUACGGCCGCAAGGUUGAAACUCAAAGGAAUUGACGGGGGCCCGCACAAGCGGUGGGGCAUGUGGUUUAAUUCGAAGCAACGCGCAGAACCUUACCAGGGCUUGACAUGGGGAGGCUGUAUUCAGAGAUGGAUAUUUCCCGCAAGGGACCUCCUGCACAGGUGCUGCAUGGCUGUCGUCAGCUCGUGUCGUGAGAUAUUGGGUUAAGUCCCGCAACGAGCGCAACCCUCGUCUUCAGUUGCCAUCAGGUUGGGCUGGGCACUCUGAAGAAACUGCCGGUGACAAGCCGGAGGAAGGUGGGGAUGACGUCAAGUCCUCAUGGCCCUUAUGUCCUGGGCUACACACGUGCUACAAUGGCGGUGACAGUGGGAAGCUAGGCCGCGAGGCCGUGCUGAUCUCAAAAAGCCGUCUCAGUUCGGAUUGCACUCUGCAACUCGAGUGCAUGAAGUUGGAAUCGCUAGUAAUCGUGGAUCAGCAUGCCACGGUGAAUACGUUCCCGGGCCUUGUACACACCGCCC